rnacentral:misc_RNA from 1 species
GAAAACUCUUGAAAAAAUAGAGCUCAGACUGAUCGAGCAACAUUUAUUUCAUUUGAAAAAAACGUGGUUGGAACGACUAUUUCAUACGUAUGUUUGUUUGUCAGGCAAAAUAAUGAAUCUCGAAACACGUUUUAUUCAGUUUUCAAAAGGAUGGGCCUACAUGUCGAUGAAAUGAGAUUGUUUAACUUCUUUAUCCAGUCUCACUAUUUACUACUAAAUAACUGUCAAUAUACGGAUGCUAACUCUGUAUGUUUAUCAAUCAAUGUGAGAAUCUAGAACAUGCCGAAGGUGCUCUAUCUCUAAAUUGACGAUUCUGCCGAAGUUUUAUUGUAUAUGAAAUAAGUAAUCUAUAAAAUAAUAAUGUCUGGAAUCGACACUCUAAAACUUGACCUUGAGGAGUUACAGACUCUCCAACAACAGGCAACCCGGAGUAGAGUUAAGGAAAUGCUUGGCUUAGAUAUACGUAAGGUUCAGUCGGACAUUGUUCUACGUGAAGAGAAGUUGAAGGCAGCAGAACCUAAACCUGCAGUUCCAACACCUGAGGCCUCAACACCUGCUCAACCAAUAGGCAAAUCUAAAUCUAACUUACAGACAGUAAAGAUGACCACGUAUGCCUGGGACCAGAGUGAUAAAUUCUUCAAGAUAUAUGCCACACUUGAAAAAAUCCAGUCCAUUCCUGCUGAGAAUGUCACCUGUGAGUUUCAAACCAGGUCCUUCACUUUGCGUGUUAAAGAACUUGAUGGGAAAAACUAUGAAUUGACAGUCACUAAUCUGUUCGAUGAUAUAGAUCCUGAAAAAUCCAAAUUUAGAAUAAAAACAGGAAUGGUGCUUGUACAGUUAAAGAAAAAGGAGGAGUUCAAAACGUGGGGUGGUACAACUGCUAAGGAAGGAGCAAUCAAGAAACCAAACCUACCAAAAACAGAUGAAGAAGAUCCAUCUGCGUCACUCAUGAACAUGAUGAAACAAAUGUAUGAUGAUGGAGAUGAUGACAUGAAAAGAACAAUAGCACAAGCCUGGACUCAGAGUAAAGAUAAGCAAGGGAUGGCCCCAGGUGGUCCAAUGGAUAUAUAGUAUACAAUUUAGUGCCAAUCUGCUGGAUAUGCGAUCUAGUGCAAAUCUGGUGGAUAUGCUAUCUAGUGCAAAUCUGGUGGAUAUGUGAUCUAGUGCAAAUCUGGUGGAUAUGUGAUCUAGUGCAAAUCUGGUGGAUAUGUGAUCUAGUGCAAAUCUGGUGGAUAUGUGAUCUAGUGCAAAUCUGGUGGAUAUGUGAUCUAGUGCAAAUCUGGUGGAUAUAAAGUAUACCAUGAAGUGAAUAUCUGGUGGAUAUAUUGUUUACUGUGAUAAUAUAUACUACUGGGUGUUACAUAAGUGGAUAUACAGUAUAGUUUAUUCAGUACUGAAUAUCUUC